rnacentral:sRNA from 1 species
CUGUCGCCCCGAGGCAAGCAGGCAGGCCCAGCUGGGAAGAAGUCUGUGUCGCUGUGUGGUCCUUUGCUGUAUCUACUGCGAGAAUGAAGACCAUUCUCAGCAAUCAGACUGUCAACAUUCCAGAAAAUGUCGACAUUACUCUGAAGGGACACACAGUUAUCGUGAAUGGCCCCAGAGGAACCCUGCGGAGGGACUUCAAUCACAUCAGUGUAGAACUCAGUCUUCUUGAAAAGAAAAAAAAAGAGCUCUGGGUUGACAAAUGGUGGGGUAACAGAAAGCAACUGGCUACCGUUCGGACUAUUUGUAGUCAUGUACAGAACAUGAUCAAGGGUGUUACACUGGGCUUCCGUUACAAGAUGAGGUCUGUGUAUGCUCACUUCCCCAUCAUCGUCAUCUCGGAGAAUGGGUAUGUUGUUGAAAUCUGAAAUUUCUUGGGUGAAAAAUACAUCCGCAGGGUUCGGAUGAGACCAGGUGUUGCUUGUUCAGUAUCUCAAGCCAGAAAGAUGAAUUAAUCCUUGAAGGAAAUGACAUUGAGCUUGUUUCAAAUUCAGCGGCUUUGAUUCAGCAAGCCACAACAGUUAAAAACAAGGAUAUCAGGAAAUUUUUGAAUGGUAUCUAUGUCUCUGAAAAAGGAACUGUUCAGCAGGCUGAUGAAUAAGAUCUAAGAGUUAUCCAGCUACAGAAAGAAGAUGCCAGAUGACUCCUAAGACCUACUUGUGAUAUUU